GCGCCUCUAGCUCAACGGUAGAGCAAGUGACUCUUAAUCACUGGGUUCUGGGUUCGAAUCCCAGGGGGCGUACCA
rnacentral:tRNA from 2 species